AGAACACCGAGGAGCAGAGAAGUUAAGGGUGGAGCAGAAACUCACACAAUAGGGAACAGAGGGUCAGAGAGAUAAAGCAUCACCUCUAAGGCCAUCCCAGAGAAGAGGCUGGAAGUUUUGUGAUAACGACAAGAGUGAGAUGCCUUCUUUCUUGGCUAUACUCAGCAGUUAGGCCAAUGGAUAUAUGCCACAUGGAAGCAGGCGUGAAGUCAGUUCAAAGAAAUAGACACAGUUCCUAAGGAGAGAACCACCCCACC